AUGAACAAGAACGAGUUCCCUUUUACUCCUUCACAAUGGCAAGAGCUUGAACAUCAAGCCCUUGUUUACAAGUACAUGGCUUCUGGUAUCUCUAUUCCUCCUGAUCUUCUUUUCACCAUUAGAAAAAGCUUUUUGGACUCUCCUAUCUCUUCAACACUUUUGCCUAACACCCAACAACAUCAUUUUGGAUGGAACUAUCUGCAGAUGGGUUUGGGAAGAAAGAUAGAUCCUGAGCCAGGAAGAUGUAGAAGAACAGAUGGAAAGAAAUGGAGAUGCUCAAAAGAAGCAUAUCCAGAUUCUAAAUACUGUGAGAGACAUAUGCAUAGAGGAAAAAAUCGUUCAAGAAAGCCUGUGGAACUUCUGAAAACAACAACAAAUAAUGCUUCAACGUUUGCAAACUCAUCCAUCACCAAAAAUACUUCUUCUUUGUCCUUUGAUACACAACAACACUAA